AAAAAAUAAUAAAAAACAAAAAUAAAUUACAUUUAGCUACCGUUCCAGUAUGGAACGGUAGCUGUAUAUCUAUUAUAAAAAAUAAAAAAAUAUGGAGUAAGUCAUUUGGGAUCCCAAAUCUGCGCAAACCAUCGUCCAUCGUCAUUUCCGAUCUGCGCAAACCAUCGUCCUCCACUGUGUCCUGCCACCGCAGCCACCACCGCACAGCCAUCAAUCCUCCAUUUCCGCCUCCACCGCAGCCACCAUUGCAGCCGUUGCGCCACCACAGUCCGCCAUUGCAGCCACCGUACCAGAUCUGCGCAGCGAUUUCCACCUCCACCGCAGCCACCACCGUCCGCCAUUGCAGCACCACCGUCGGCCAAGCCCCAGUCGCCUCCACCGUCUCCACUGCCUCCGCCCCAGUCGCCUGUCCAGCUGGCCACCACCGUCCGCCAUUGCCGAAGUUGAUGAGUGAAGCUAGCAGUAAGAAUAUGACUCCUUUCCUUUUCUUUCAAUUACUUGUUCUAUCCAAUUGAAGUUGGGGGCGGAAUCAGAAUGGUCAACUGGGUCUUGGCACCAUAGAGGAUUCACUUGUACCUCAGAAAAUUGAAACAUUUCAGGGAGUUCCUGUGAAAAUGGUUGCUGCCGGUGCUGAACAUACAGCUGCUGUGACAGAAGAUGGCGAGCUUUACGUUUGGGGCUGGGGUCGAUAUGGUAAUCUGGUUUAGGUGACCGAAAUGAUCGCUUAGUUCCUGAAAAAGUUUCAGCUAUACAAGUGAUUAAGAUGUAGAAUUUAUGCUCACCUGUGUGUGUUUGACUGGAGAAAACUUGAUUUUAUUCUAUGCUUGGGACUAGCAUGGAGAAAAGAUGGUAAUGGUAGCAUGUGGAUGGCGACAUACAAUGUCUGUUUCUUCCUCUGGUUCUUUAUAUACUUAUGGCUGGAGCAAAUAUGGCUAACUUGGGCAUUAAGUGGGGAUUUUUAAGACCACUUUGUUCCCAGUAAGCUUGAAACCUUGCAUGGUGAUUUUAUUUCUCAGAUUUCAGGUGGAUGGAGACACACCAUGAUAUUUGAAAUGCAUUUAUAACCAACUUAUGCAUUGUUCUCUUGUUUGAGGAGCUAUUUGUCUAUUUUAUGGUGGUCCAUUUGUAUUUUUCUACUGCUAGAUCAUUAAUCCCAGGAUUUGAGCUGACUGUGCUAUGCAGGUGAAAAAGGUUGACGAAAACAAGUGAACGUCUUUUAUCAUGUUUUAAAUUCCAAGACUAGGGUACAAUAAAGAUUCGAAAUAGUAAAUUUGAUAUUUGUGAUGUAGUAAGCAUACAAAAAAAUUAGAAGAAUAUGAUGUUUAAUAUUUCA